CUCCUUGCCUUCCCUCUUAGGACCAAACUCCCAGCUGGGGCCUCGGCGUCUGACCGCCAAAGAGCGGGUGCCUGGUUCCUGCGGAGGCUGCCGGGCGGGUGCCGAGGUUGCCGAGAUGCGGGAGGUUUGAACACAAGGAUGGGACAGAGGCGAGGAUCGGGGCUCCUGGGUGGCAGCGGCGGUAACCUGGGCUCCAGGGUAACGGAGGCGGAGGCCUAGACUGCACUACGAAGAGACCGCAGCCAAUCAUGAUGACUCUACCCGAGCUCCCAUUGGCUUCUGUCUCCAGACGGCCCUUUUUAUUGGCUUCAGUGGAACUGGAAGGCGGGACGGCGAGUGCGGGAGAAGGUCUCCAUUGGCCGACCGCUCUAGCUGUAGCGGAGACCCCCAAGUAGGGAAAUUGGGGCAAAACGCGGAGCGCUCCAGGCUCCUACGGGCUGUGCGGUGCCAGGGCUCGACUGCUGAGCGUCGUGGGCUCCGAGAGGGACGCGGGCGGAGGGCAAAGUGGGUUCAUGAUAUGAAUUGUAAAAUUGGCGACUGCGUAAUGUAAAACACUUAACAAUUGCUUAGAUUUCCUUUGGGAAAUAACUUGCUUUUAAAUUGUAAACAAAUUACAAACAAACUGCUAGUGCUUCUGGAUCUUCUUACCGAAAUGGCUGAUUCAGGAGGAUGCGGGGAGCGUCAGAUCAGGAUUGCUGAAGGAGAGCUGAGAAUGAAACCACCAUUUAUUCAGCACUCAGAAUGCUCCAGGCAGUGUAAUCUCAUUCCAUCUUCAUUCAUGACUCCAGACAGUGACUCUGAAAAUGAAGUAACAUCAUGAGAAGAGGAAACCAUAUGGAAUUAUUACACUUCUCUUUCCACAUGAACAGCCUGGCUAUUCUCUGCCCUUCUGUACUAAGGCCUAUCCUCUGGAAUCAUAGGGUGGCCUGGAAGCCUCAAAAGGAAAUUCUCCCUUGUGGUCAGAGGGAGGAACUGCUGUCUUCCAUCACCCUUCUUCACACUGCAAAUAUGACUUGGAAUAGAGUCCAUGCAAAAAUAGUUUUAUGCUUCUGAAUGGGUGCAGGACAAAAAAGGUGUUGUGUGGGCCAAUAGUGUCUAUAACUGCAAGUUCUACCAGUUCUCAAACUAUAGAAUGUUUCAGAAAUGCCAGGGAGCGGAUUAAAAAUGUUACUUUAAUCUGACUCAGUUCUGGGGGGUAAUCCAAAAAACACGUUUUUAUCUAGACCCCCAGGUGGUCCUGACAUAGGUGGCUGAAUGAACUCCCCC
rnacentral:lncRNA from 1 species